UUCAAUGAUGAUUUAACAAAAACAAAGCUGGAAUUACUGGCUGAUAUCUUUAUGAUUGAAAAAGUUUUUGCACCAUACGCUCCUGAUU
rnacentral:snoRNA from 1 species